UACGUAGGUGGCAAGCGUUGUCCGGAUUUACUGGGCGUAAAGGGCGCGUAGGCGGCGUGUCAAGUCGAUUGUGAAAUCUCCGGGCUUAACUCGGAACGGCCAAUCGAUACUGACGUGCUAGAGUGCAGAAAGGGCAAUCGGAAUUCUUGGUGUAGCGGUGAAAUGCGUAGAUAUCAAGAGGAACACCUGAGGCGAAGGCGGGUUGCUAGGCUGACACUGACGCUGAGUGCGCGAAAGCCAGGGGAGCAAACGGG
rnacentral:rRNA from 1 species